GAUGAACGCUGGCGGCGUGCCUAAUACAUGCAAGUCGAGCGAACGGACGAGAAGCUUGCUUUUCUGAUGUUAGCGGCGGACGGGUGAGUAGCACGUGGAUAACCUACCUAUAAGACUGGGAUAACUUCGGGAAACCGGAGCUAAUACCGGAUAAUAUUUUGAACCGCAUGGUUCAAAAGUGAAAGACGGUCUUGCUGUCACUUAUAGAUGGAUCCGCGCUGCAUUAGCUAGUUGGUAAGGUAACGGCUUACCAAGGCAACGAUGCAUAGCCGACCUGAGAGAGUGAUCGGCCACACUGGAACUGAGACACGGUCCAGACUCCUACGGGAGGCAGCAGUAGGGAAUCUUCCGCAAUGGGCGAAAGCCUGACGGAGCAACGCCGCGUGAGUGAUGAAGGUCUUCGGAUCGUAAAACUCUGUUAUUAGGGAAGAACAUAUGUGUAAGUAACUGUGCACAUCUUGACGGUACCUAAUCAGAAAGCCACGGCUAACUACGUG
rnacentral:rRNA from 1 species